AUCAAAGGAACUAAGGGCGCACAGUGGAUGCCUUGGCACUAAGAGCCGAUGAAGGACGCAAUUAACGGCGAAACGCCACGGGAAGCUGUAAAUAAGUGAAGAUUCGUGGGUCUCCGAAUGGGAAAACCCAUUACAUUGAAGAUGUAAUAUUCUUCUAAUACGAUUUAUCUUGUUAGAAGAAAGGAAACGCGGCGAACUGAAAUAUCUAAGUAACCGCAGGAAAAGAAAGUAAUAACGAUUCUGGUAGUAGUGACGAGCGAACCCGGAACAGCCUGAUACCAUUUCUAGUUACAAAAUUUUAACGAAGUAGAAGCUUUUGGAAAGAAGCACCAAAGAAGGUGACAGUCCCGUAAACGUAAGUUAAAAUCUAGGGUAUCAAUAAGUACGGCGAGACACGAGAAAUCUUGUCGGAAGAUGGGAGGACCAUCUCCUAAGGCUAAAUACUUCUUAGUGACCGAUAGUGAAAUAGUACCGUGAGGGAAAGGUGAAAAGAACCCCGAAAGGGGAGUGAAAUAGAUCCUGAAACUGUGUGCCUACAAUUAGUCAAAGCACGUUAAUGUGUGAUGGCUUGCCUUUUGCAGAAUGAACCGGCGAGUUAUGAUAUGGAGCAAGGUUAAGUUUUAAGGAACGGAGCCGUAGCGAAAGCGAGUCUUAAUAGGGCGUUUAGUUGCAUGUCAUAGACCCGAAACUGAAGUGAGCUAGCCAUGAGCAGGUUGAAGUUUAGGUAAAACUAAAUGGAGGACCGAACCAGGACACGUUGAAAAGUGUUUGGAUGACUUGUGGCUAGGGGUGAAAUUCCAAUCGAACUCAGAGAUAGCUGGUUCUCCCCGAAAUAGCUUUAGGGCUAGCGUUGAUUUAGUAAUUUGGUGAAGGUAGAGCACUGAAUGAGUAAGGGCUCCACCUCGGGGUACCGAACUCAAUCAAACUCCGAAUGUUACCAAAUAAAAUCAGCAGUCAGACUGUGGGUGAUAAGGUCCAUGGUCAAAAGGGAAAGAGCCCAGACCGUCAGCUAAGGUCCCAAAAUUGAUGUUAAGUGGCAAAGGAAGUGAAGAUGUUUAAACAACUAGGAGGUUGGCUUAGAAGCAGCCAUCCUUUAAAGAGUGCGUAAUAGCUCACUAGUCGAAUGACUCUGCGCCGAAAAUGUACCGGGGCUAAAACAUCAUACCGAAGCUACGGAUUCAAAUAACUUCUUAGUUAUUUGAAUGGUAGGGGAAGCGUUCUGACAUCAGUGAAGCCAUAGCGGAAGCAGUGGUGGAGAGGUCAGAAGUGAGAAUGCCGGUGUAAGUAACGAAAAGAUAGGUGAGAAUCCUAUCCGUCAAAAACCCAAGGUUUCCAGGGCCAGGUUCGUCCUCCCUGGGUUAGUCGGGUCCUAAGGUGAGGGAGAAAUCCGUAAUCGAUGGCAAGCAGGCUGAGAUUCCUGCACUAGUUAAUCAACUGACGGAGGGACAAAGCAGGCUAAACACGCCCCUUAUUGGAUUGGGGUAGAAAAACUAAGUCUGAGAAGACAGGCAAAUCCGUUUUCUCAUUUAAAGACAAGGUUUGAAAGUAAAGUGAUUGAUGUCAUACUUUCAAGAAAAGCUUCUAGGGCUAAUUGAUUAACUACCCGUACCGCAAACCGACACAGGUGGGUAGGUAGAGUAUACUAAGACGCGCGAGCAAACUCUUGUUAAGGAACUCGGCAAAAUUACUCCGUAACUUAGGGAUAAGGAGAGCUUUUAUUAAAACUAAAAGCCGCAGAGAAUAGGCCCAAGCGACUGUUUAUCAAAAACAUAGGUCUCUGCUAAACCGCAAGGUGAUGUAUAGGGGCUGAUGCCUGCCCGGUGCUGGAAGAUUAAAAGGAGAUGUCAGGCAACGAAGCAUUGAAUUGAAGUCCCAGUAAACGGCGGCCGUAACUAUAACGGUCCUAAGGUAGCGAAAUUCCUUGUCGGGUAA
rnacentral:rRNA from 1 species